rnacentral:rRNA from 1 species
GUCCUUAUGAAUUUAAUUUAAGGUUUGACCUGCCCACUGAAAUUAUUUAAAUGGCCGCAGUAUUUUGACUGUGCAAAGGUAGCAUAAUCAUUAGUUUUUUAAUUAAAAGCUUGUAUGAAGGGUUGGACGAGGUAAAUUCUGUCUCUAUUUAAUUUAAUAUAGAAUUUAAUUUUUAAGUUAAAAAGCUUAAAUUUUUUUAAAAGACGAGAAGACCCUAUAGAUCUUUAUAUAAUAUAAAUUAAUUUUAAUUAAGAAUAUUUUAUUUUUUAAUUUUUAUUAUAUUUUAUUGGGGUAAUAAAAAGAUUAAAUAAAUUCUUUUUUUAUUUUAACAUUAAUUAAUGAUUAUAUGAUCCAAUUUUAUUGAUUAAAAGAUUAAGUUACCUUAGGGAUAACAGCGUAAUUUUUUUAGAGAGUUCAUAUCGAUAAAAAAGUUUGCGACCUCGAUGUUGGAUUAAAAAUUAUCUUAGGUGCAGAAGUU